rnacentral:rRNA from 1 species
CGGCCUUCGGGUUGUAAAAUUCUGUGGCGAGGAACGAAUGGCAAGGAGAGGAAAUGCUCUUUGUUUGACGGUACCUCGCUAGAAAGCCACGGCUAACUACGUGCCAGCAGCCGCGGUAAUACGUAGGUGGCAAGCGUUAUCCGGAAUUAUUGGGCGUAAAGAGUGAGCAGGCGGUUUUUUAAGUCUGAAGUCAAAUCCUGUGGCUCAACCACAGUUCGCUUUGGAAACUGAAGAACUAGAGUGCGGGAGAGGUAAGCGGAAUUCCAUAUGUAGCGGUGAAAUGCACAGAUAUAUGGAGGAACACCGGUGGCGAAGGCGGCUUACCAGCCCGAUACUGACGCUCAGUCACGAAAGCGUGGGGAGCAAAUAGGCUUAGAUACCCUAGUAGUCCACGCCGUAAACGUUGAGGACCUGAUGCCGGAGUAUUUCGGUGUCGUAGCUAACGCGUUAAGUCCUCCGCCUGGGUACUACGUUCGCAAGAAUAAAACUUAAAGGAAUUGACGGGGGCCCGCACAAGCAGUGGAGCAUGUGGUUUAAUUCGUCGCUACGCGAAAAACCUUACCAGGGUUUGACAUCCCGCUAAAAGUCUUGGAAACAAGAUCAUAGUUAUAGCGGUGAAAGGUGGUGCAUGGUUGUCGUCAGCUCGUGUCGUGAGAUGUUGGGUUAAGUCCCCUAACGAGCGCAACCCUUGUCUCUAUUUGCCAUCAUUAAGUUGGGAACUAUAGAGAGACUGCCGGUGCAAACCGGAGGAAGAUGGGGAUGACGUCAAAUCAUCAUGCCCCUUAUGCCCUGGGCCACACACGUGCUACAAUGGCCGGUACAGAGAGAAGCAAUCCCGUGAGGAGGAGCAAAUCUCACAAAGCCGGUCUCAGUUCGGAUUGGAGUCUGCAACUCGACUCCAUGAAGCUGGAAUUGCUAGUAAUCGCAGAUCAGCAUUGCUGCGGUGAAUACGUUCCCGGGCCUUGUACACACUGCCCGUCACACCAUGAGAGUCGGCAAUACUCGAAGUCGUUAUCUUAACCCGUAAUAAGGGAGGGAGGCGCCUAAGGUAGGGCUGAUGAUUGGGGUUAAGUCGUAACAAGGUAUCCCUACGGGAACGUGGGGAUG